rnacentral:tRNA from 1 species
CCUGAUAGCAAGUACAUUCGCACU